rnacentral:rRNA from 1 species
UUACCGAGUUUACAACUCCCAAACCCCAAUGUGAACGUUACCAAUCUGUUGCCUCGGCGGGAUUCUCUUGCCCCGGGCGCGUCGCAGCCCCGGAUCCCAUGGCGCCCGCCGGAGGACCAACUCCAAACUCUUUUUUUCUCUCCGUCGCGGCUCCCGUCGCGGCUCUGUUUUAUUUUUGCUCUGAGCCUUUCUCGGCGACCCUAGCGGGCGUCUCGAAAAUGAAUCAAAACUUUCAACAACGGAUCUCUUGGUUCUGGCAUCGAUGAAGAACGCAGCGAAAUGCGAUAAGUAAUGUGAAUUGCAGAAUUCAGUGAAUCAUCGAAUCUUUGAACGCACAUUGCGCCCGCCAGUAUUCUGGCGGGCAUGCCUGUCCGAGCGUCAUUUCAACCCUCGAACCCCUCCGGGGGGUCGGCGUUGGGGGAUCGGCCCCUCACCGGGCCGCCCCCGAAAUACAGUGGCGGUCUCGCCGCAGCCUCUCCUGCGCAGUAGUUUGCACACUCGCACCGGGAGCGCGGCGCGGCCACAGCCGUAAAACACCCCAAACUUCUGAAAUGUUGACCUCGGAUCAGGUAGGAAUACCCGCUGAACUUAAGCAUAUCAAUAA